CUGUGGAAGGAGCUCUCCGACCACUUCUCCAUCCUCCAGCAGGGGCUCGAGAUAAAGUCGGAGGCCCUUCGGUCCAAGCGCCAGUCCCUCGACGCCUCCACCGGGCACGCCCUCGACUCUCUCCGCCGCCGCGAGCUCUCCAUCGACUCCGCCGUCGAGCUUGCUAUCGCCAAGCUCGACGAGCGCCGUGCCGCCGCCGUCGAGGCCCUAUCCGCCACCGCUGCGGGGGGGGACGAUCUUGAUCUCGC
rnacentral:lncRNA from 1 species